AAUUCUGGUGUCCCAGGCAUAGAGGAACCACACCAACCCAUCCCGAACUUGGUGGUUAAACUCUACUGCGGUGACGAUACUGUAGGGGGAGCCCUGCGGGAAAAUAGCUCGGUGCCAGGAU
rnacentral:rRNA from 11 species